rnacentral:rRNA from 1 species
AGAGUUUGAUCCUGGCUCAGGACGAACGCUGGCGGCGUGCCUAAUACAUGCAAGUCGAACGGUCUUUUCUAUGGAAGCUUGCUUCCACUGAGAAGAUAGUGGCGAACGGGUGAGUAACACGUGGGUAACCUGCCCAUAAGAGGGGGAUAACAUCCGGAAACGGGUGCUAAUACCGCAUAGUUUUCUUAAUCGCAUGAUUGAGAAAGGAAAGACGGCCUUUGUGCUGUCGCUUAUGGAUGGACCCGCGGCGUAUUAGUUAGUUGGUGAGGUAACGGCUCACCAAGACGAUGAUACGUAGCCGACCUGAGAGGGUGAUCGGCCACAUUGGGACUGAGACACGGCCCAAACUCCUACGGGAGGCAGCAGUAGGGAAUCUUCCGCAAUGGACGAAAGUCUGACGGAGCAACGCCGCGUGAGUGAAGAAGGUUUUCGGAUCGUAAAACUCUGUUGUCAGAGAAGAACAAGUUGGAGAGUAACUGCUCCAGCCUUGACGGUAUCUGACCAGAAAGCCACGGCUAACUACGUGCCAGCAGCCGCGGUAAUACGUAGGUGGCAAGCGUGUCCGGAUUUAUUGGGCGUAAAGCGAGCGCAGGCGGUUCUUAAGUCUGAUGUGAAAGCCACGGCUCAACCGUGGAAGGUCAUUGGAAACUGGGGAACUUGAGUGCAGAAGAGGAGAGUGGAAUUCCAUGUGUAGCGGUGAAAUGCGUAGAUAUAUGGAGGAACACCAGUGGCGAAAGCGACUCUCUGGUCUGUAACUGACGCUGAGGCUCGAAAGCGUGGGGAGCAAACAGGAUUAGAUACCCUGGUAGUCCACGCCGUAAACGAUGAGUGCUAAGUGUUGGAGGGUUUCCACCCUUCAGUGCUGCAGCUAACGCAUUAAGCACUCCGCCUGGGGAGUACGGCCGCAAGGCUGAACUCAAGGAAUUGACGGGGACCCGCACAAGCGGUGGAGCAUGUGGUUUAAUUCGAUGAUACGCGAGGAACUUACAAGACUUAAAUGGGAAUUGACAGAUUAAGAAAUAGAUCCUCCUUCGGACAAUUUUCAAGGUGCUGCAUGGUUGUCGUCAGCUCGUGCCGUGAGGUGUUAGGUUAAGUCCUGCAACGAGCGCAACCCCUGUCACUAGUUGCCAUCAUUCAGUUGGGGACUCUAGUGAGACUGCCUACGCAAGUAGAGAGGAAGGUGGGGAUGACGUCAAAUCAUCACGGCCCUUACGUCUUGGGCCACACACGUAAUACAAUGGCCGGUACAGAGGGCAGCUACACAGCGAUGUGAUGCAAAUCUCGAAAGCCGGUCUCAGUUCGGAUUGGAGUCUGCAACUCGACUCUAUGAAGCUGGAAUCGCUAGUAAUCGCGCAUCAGCCAUGGCGCGGUGAAUACGUUCCCGGGCCUUGUACACACCGCCCGUCAAGCCAUGGAAGCUGGGGGUACCUGAAGUCGGUGACCGUAAAAGGAGCUGCCUAGGGUAAAACUAGUAACUAGGGCUAAGUCGUAACAAGGUAACC